rnacentral:piRNA from 1 species
UAAGAGGUACAAAGUAACCUGAGUAGGGGA